rnacentral:rRNA from 1 species
GAAUGGGAUUAGAUACCACGUAGUCCUAGCCGUAACGAUGGAUACUAGGUGUUGUCUGUAUCGACCCGGACAGUGCCGUAGCUAACGCGUUAAGUAUCCCGCCUGGGGAGUACGCACGCAAGUGUGAAACUCAAAGGAAUUGACGGGGCCGGCACAAGCGGUGGAGUAUGUGGUUUAAUUCGAUGCAACGCGAAGAACCUUACCAGGUGUCGACGCGGCCGCGAAUUAGUCGUGGAGCGAAGGCACGACAGGGAUAGGG